rnacentral:rRNA from 1 species
AACGAACGCUGGCGGCAUGCCUAACACAUGCAAGUCGAACGAGACCUUCGGGUCUAGUGGCGCACGGGUGCGUAACGCGUGGGAACCUGCCCUUAGGUUCGGAAUAACUCCCCGAAAGGGGUGCUAAUACCGGAUAAUGUCUUCGGACCAAAGAUUUAUCGCCUUUGGAUGGGCCCGCGUUGGAUUAGCUAGUUGGUAGGGUAAAAGCCUACCAAGGCGACGAUCCAUAGCUGGUCUGAGAGGAUGAUCAGCCACACUGGGACUGAGACACGGCCCAGACUGCUACGGGAGGCAGCAGUGGGGAAUAUUGGACAAGGGGCGAAAGCCUGAUCCAGCAAUGCCGCGUGAGUGAUGAAGGCCUUAGGGUUGUAAAGCUCUUUUACCCGAGAUGAUAAUGACAGUACCGGGAGAAUAAGCACCGGCUAACUCCGUG